rnacentral:lncRNA from 10 species
CCUUUUCUGACCUGGAGUAACGGACCUGGUACUUGGAGCUGCUUCAGCCAACUUGACACUGAGGCGGGAAGCCAUGGGCUGAGGAUAAGAGCCCUGUGGUGGUGGAGGAAGGCACCACCUGAGUCCUCUAUGACUUCUGAGAGCAGUUUCACCAGCCGUGGAUGGACUACCUGGGACUUCUUGGGCUUCUACCCAUCAGCAGCCUUCUUCCUUUGGAUCUCACAAGCUUCCAACAACACCAUCUGUGGUUUGGCUCAAACCCUUCUGCCUGUGCUGCCAUCCUGUUCCUACAACACUGCCUUCAGCUAAGAAAAUUGACAAAGAAAUUGCACGGCGGUUGAAUCAAGAAGAAAAGGCCUGAGAUGUAAAACGGAUUCCUCGGCAUGAAGCAAACUCCGUGGGGCAAGUGGGGAGCAGUUUCCCGCCCCACUUCAGUCUCUAGGGGGGACUUAGCUACUGCUGCUGCCCCUCCCACUCCCUGCCUGGAAUAUACUCUCUCCAUCUCCCAGGCCUGUCUGAAUUAGGCUCAUAUUUCAAGAUCUCCCAUGCAUCCGUUUCCCUAGGAAAGCCUCACCUGCACUGACUUCUCCUCCAAGUCCCAUUUCAGAGGUUACACACGCACGAUUUGGCCCUGUGUUGCUCUCCUUGAUUUCACUUCUGUGGCUUCUGUCUCCCUAACUAGACCACAUACUCUUCAGGGAAAGAACCCCACACCUGUUCUUUUGGUGUCCUCUAAAGCAUCAGUAGUACAAAGUGGUACAAACUGGAGACAUCGGAUAAAAACCACGUCAAUGACUUCAGUUCUGUGGAUUCCUCAAAGCUGCUCACUGUUCUAGAUCUUUCCUAAGAAUUCUAACCCGGCUCUUAAUUAGAAUAGACGGUUUCCAUCUGGGAAGAGUCACCCUGCGGACACUCAAGGUGUGUGUGUCUGUUGGUGUUUUGUCACCUCUGUGAAUCAAAUCUGGGGUCUGAACUAGUGCUGCUGACAGCUGCCUGUGGAGUCACCCAGAGCAGCACUUCCCAACCUUUGCUGUGGCCAGGAAUCACCCAGGGAUCUUGUUACAGUGCAGGCUCAGUAGGAUCUGGGCUGAAGCCUGGGAUUCUGCCUUCCUAACAACCCUCAGAGGAUGCUGAUUCUACUAGUCUGUGACCUCACACUUUGAGUAGAAAGAGACCCAGGAACACGUGCGAUCUUGAGACUGAAGAUGCCAUCUGGCAGGGUUAGUGCUGCCUGCUGCCAUCCUAAUCUGAGGCACGUAAAGUCCAACAAGUCCAAUCUUCUCUCUGGCCAGGAAGAAUCCUGUUCUCUUUGUAGCUUUCUUUAUGGGAUUUUACUAAGCCCUACAUUAAUGUCCCUCUCCUCCUUCAAGUCUUCCCUACCUGUAUCAUUUUAUUCCUUCCUAUUUCUUCAAAACCCACCCCUUAGGACCAGCCCAAGCCCUACUUCUUCCAGCAGUGUCCCUGGCCCCUUAGCAACAUUCUCCAGGGUACUUCCUGCCCACACUACUCAUAGGCCCUUAUUAAAGGCCUCCCUGUCUUGGUGGCUUUUCUAUGCAAACGUUCUACUCCUAUAACUGUGCUGUAAGUACCAGGGGAAGGGCACAGACACAACAUCUUCCACUUUCGUGUAUCCUUCAGUGGAACCUGGGCUAGGGCAGACAAACUGGGUAAAUAUUUGCUGAUUGUGAAAGACAAUCAAAAAUGCCCUUUGCUCUUUUCCUUUCCCUCUCAAGGAGGAAAGAAAAAGUGAUCCCAGCUGCCUUGGCCUCCAUCCCCAGCCCAGCCUUGCUCCUCUCCCAGGCGCUGCAGCUGGGGCGGCUUAGAUUUUAUUUCGCUCUCUGCAGCUCCUCUUCCCUUCAGUGAAGAGUUAAAGCAUCGGGAAGGCUCCUUCCCACUUGGAAAUCUCCAUUUCCUCCUGCAGCGUGAACAAGAGAACUCUAUGGACAGAGGCCGAGUGAGCCAACUGCGCAGGGAGUGAACUCACUCUGAAUGGGGCUGUUCUAACACCCGCCAAGUCAAGUCAUUAAGAUGCCAUCCCCGAGGUGCAGCCCCCAGCGUCACCUCUGGAUAUCCAUAUCCUCAAGCCCGCCGGCAGAAAGGAUGAAUGGUGAGCACAGAGCUGGUGAAAGCAAGCUCUUUCAUGAGCAGGGCGUGAGAGGACCUCUCCGGCUCCUCUUAAGGUGGGGGUGGGGCGCUUCGGAGUAGAAGUCGUUCCUCCUCUCUCCCACUGCCUCCUCUACCACACCGAACUAAAAUUAACCCUCAAAUUUACAGGGAGUUACCCAAAAGAUUGCUCCACAAAAGGCAACCAAGAAGGGGGCUGGGUAAUAACAUUAGAAAAAAUAUCUGCAAUGCCAAAAAUAAUCACUGUGUCAUGAGAAAACAGAGCUGGACUGCCUCAGAGGCCAGCACUGGGUAUAUACAGGAAGGAGGGGGCAGAAAUUCCCCUGGCAGUGUCGUCAAACAUUCUGGAUGGAAAAAGGCGGGUGGGGGGCGGGGGUGCACAUAACCGGGACAGACAGUUGUCAGAACUCUUUUCAAGUACAGAAUAUGAUUUUAAGGGUCAGUUCUCUCUUCUUUAUUUCAGACACUUUAAUUUCAAAGAAAACAUUUGUUUAGACUUUUAAUCAGGACUGAUGCUUGAUCACAUGCUAAUAGUGAAAUAUCCUAGGAUCUGCCUUACUAAUCCCAACAUGUUGCCAGAACUUCUGGUUCCUGGAAUUUAAAGUAUUUCAAAACAGCAAGAGAAGGGGGAGAAAGCACGGGAUCCCUCACUCUCCUACCCCCAUCCUCAUAACCCCUUCUCCCCUCCCUAUUAAAAAAAGGAAAGCAAAGAAAGAGGAAAAGUGAAAGAGGAGAGAGCUGGUAGAGAAUCUGUCCUGGGCUUCCUUUAUAAAGAAUCCUGAUCUGAGGCCUGUUCACAUGGUCACAUGUCUAGUAUUGUGGGAUCUGAUUCAUGCCACAGCGCGAACACUUGCUUUCCCCCAAUUCUGCCCUCUCUUGCUCUGAUGAGAAGUGAGAUGUCUGCGCACAUUUCCAUUCCUUUGUAAAGAAGUCAUCAAAAGCCACAGGAAAUGCUAAAAGUCUUUUCCAAAUUUAUUAUCAUGCUCUCAAAUAACAUUGAGCAAUUUGGGAAAUAAAACUGUAUUUUUC